rnacentral:rRNA from 1 species
UAUAAUUUUAGUUGUAUAAAUAAUUUAAAUUAUUUGUUUUUUUAGUAUUAAUAGGAUAGAAGUUAAUGUUGAUUGUUGUGUACUGUAAAGGAAUAAUGUAUAUUUUAUAUUUUAGUAGAAUUUUAUUUUCGUACCUUUUGUAUAAUGGAUUGAUGAUUUUUUUAUUUUAUAUAAUAUUAUCUCGAAGUGGAAGGAUUUACUUAUUAGGAAUAUGUUAACGUUGCAUAGUUAUAUAGUGAUUAUUAAGUGGUAGUGAAAUGCUUAUCGUUUCCCAUGAUAGCUAGUUUAUUGGUGUAGAAUAUUUAAGUAUUGAAGUGUUGAAUUAUAAUGUUGAUUGUUUAUUAUUACAUUGUUUAUUAUGUGAGGGAUAAGCUUCAUAUAAUAGGAUAGAAUAUCAUUAAAUAUAUAAUUAAAUAGUUUAAGUAGAAUUAAUAUUGUUUUUCUUUAAAAGUGUUUUAAACUAUUAUUAUUAACUGAGAGUUCAUGUUUUUAACUAAUAAAUUUUUAUUAACUAGCUUAUAAAUAGUUAUAAUGUUAAUAUGAGUAUUGAGGUAUACAUAUAAUAAGGAGUUUGUAGUUAUUAUAGUUGUAGAGUGUUUAUAUUAUGUAUAUAUUAAUUAAAUAAAGUAAAGGAAUUCGGCAAAUAUUAAUCUCGCCUGUUUAUCAAAAACAUGUCUCUUUGUUUUGUUUAUAUGAAGAGUUGGGCCUGCUCGGUGAUUUUUUAACAGCUGCGGUAUUUUAACUGUACUAAGGUAGCAUAAUAAUUUGCCUUAUAAUUUGAGGCUAGAAUGAAUGGUUUGACGAAGGUUAAUCUGUCUCUACUUUAUUUUUUAGAAUUUAAUUUUUAUAGUGAAAAAGCUUGUAUUUUUUUAAGGGACGAGAAGACCCUAUUGAGCUUAUAAUUUUAUUAUUGUUAUGGUUAUAUUGGUCUAAUAUUAUAUAAAUUUUAAUUGGGGUGAUUAAGGAAUAAAGUAUUUAUAGAUAUUAACUUCCUUAGCUAUAAUUAUAUUGUUGAAUAAAGUAACCAAUAAGUUAUUGCUUUUAUAGUAGUUACCAUAGGGAUAACAGCGUAAUUUAUUUAGAGAGUUCUUAUUGAAAAAUGAGAUUGCGACCUCGAUGUUGGAUUAAAGUUACCUUAAGGUGCAGAAGCUUUAUUAGGUGAAUCUGUUCGAUUUUUAAAACUUUACAUGAUCUGAGUUCAGACCGGCGUGAGCCAGGUUGGUUUUUAUCUUUUGAAAAUGAGUAUUGCUUCUUUUAGUACGAAAGGACCAGGGAAAGCUAAUUUUUAAUUAUUAUUAUACAAAGUUGGCAGAAAAAU